UGCAUCUGAGAGGUUAAGUUGCCUUCUAUAAAAUGGAAGCAUGUAGGCGCUACUUUGGUGUGCUGGUAAAACACAGCAGGAUGCUCAGUGGAGAGCAUGAUUUAGGGGAUCAGCAUUCUGCUCCAACUCUGCCAGCUCAGUAAUUCUGCAAAAUGUGUGCUGCUGCUGAGCUUCCUAAAUAUGCAGAUCCAUAUUCCUGGAUCCCUGAAGUCUCUGGCCUCCGUUUGAACUUUCUGACAGUUCUGGGUUCUCCAUCUGAAAAAAAAAAAGAAAACAAAACUGGAAAAGGUGGAGAAAAGAAGGAUAAAGAGGAUCAAAACUAUGAAAUUACUUCUCUGCAAAGGAUCAUUGAAUACACCAAGACUCUUUAGCCCAACAAAGAGACAACAAAAGAUAGAGAUGAUGGAAUUCUACCAAGUGAGAAGUGGCAUGGAGGUCUGUACAGCAGGGCUCUGACUGGGAAAGCACAUGGGAAGGUAGUUUACCUCAAAGCUCGGAGGAAUUUCAGACACCUGCCGUUCAAACUGGGAUCCCUGCGUGGGAAAGGGCUGUCCCAUGAGAUGAGCACAACUUGAAAGUGAAGAUCUGAUUUUAGGACAGGACUAGACUGGUUGGUACCAGGAGGUUGAGGAGAGCACACUGAGCUCUCUCUGCUGGGGCUCAGGCUUUAGAAAGCGAGCACUCAACAUGACAGAUUGCUUUUCUACACCCUGCCAGCCAUCUUCCCGACUGCCAACGAACCAAACGACAACGAUGUAUUGCUCACACACGGUACGAUCCAGCAUUGCUGGAAGUCAUUGGCUGUCCUUCUCUUGCCUUCGGGAUGUAUCCACUGAGGCCUGGGCUGUCUGAUCCAAAACUGACUGAAGCGGGAAUAUUUGCCACUGAUUAAAAGGAAUUUGCAUAUUCGUAACAAACUGGAAGUAGAGGCUUUCAGGCUGACUUUGCAGAAUAAUUCCAAUGAAAAGAAGAAAAAAUAUCUCAGCUAUUAACUAUCUGAGGGCACACAAAUACUCUACCAUGUCUCCUAUCUGCAGAUAUUGCAUAGUUGUUGAACUACAACUUAAUGAUUCAUAAAACAAAACCUUAAAAAAAUUACACUAGUUCUUAACAGCAGUUUAAUGCAAGAAUUUUCAAAUCUUAUUGUGUUUAUGGAGAAAAAUCACAGAUUCCAGGGAAAAAAGCCAUUGGCAUUACAUGGAAUGAAAUUUAUAACCCACUGAGUUUUUACGAAACCUUCUGCAACGCUAACUCUGCUUCCUCCUGAAGUCACCUUAGUAACUGCUUCAAUUUCAUCAUCAGAUUAGAGGGCAAUAUUAACAAUAUCUAUUUUCAUAUUUAAGUGAAAUACCUAUAUAUGUGUGUAUGUAUAUGUAUAUAUAUAGAUAUAGUCUCUAGCAUUUGAAAUGUGAACUGAAAGAGGAUUGAAGAGAGAGAGCUGUGUGGGCAACCUGUUUCCAGGAGAAGGUGUCUUCAGAUUUUCAAAGACCAGAAAUUUGAAACUGUCUGGAGCUUAUGAUUUCCUAAACACCCAUGUUCGGUGCUGGA